rnacentral:rRNA from 1 species
UGGAGAAUAUUGCACAAUGGGGGAAACCCUGAUGCAGCGACGCCGCGUGAACGAAGAAGGUAUUCGUAUCGUAAAGUUCUGUCCUAUGGGAAGAUAAUGACAGUACCAUAGAAGAAAGCUCCGGCUAAAUACGUGCCAGCAGCCGCGGUAAUACGUAUGGAGCGAGCGUUGUCCGGAAUUAUUGGGCGUAAAGGGUACGCAGGCGGUUUAAUAAGUCGAAUGUUAAAGAUCGGGGCUCAACCCCGCAAAGCAUUGGAAACUGAUAAACUUGAGUAGUGGAGAGGAAAGUGGAAUUCCUAGUGUAGUGGUGAAAUACGUAGAUAUUAGGAGGAAUACCAGUAGCGAAGGCGACUUUCUGGACACAAACUGACGCUGAGGUACGAAAGCGUGGGGAGCAAACAGG